AGUAACCUGCCCUAGAGUGGGGGACAACAGUUGGAAACGACUGCUAAUACCGCAUAAGCCCACGGUGCCGCAUGGUACUGAGGGAAAAGGAUUUAUUCGCUUUAGGAUGGACUCGCGUCCAAUUAGCUAGUUGGUGAGGUAACGGCCCACCAAGGCGACGAUUGGUAGCCGGACUGAGAGGUUGAACGGCCACAUUGGGACUGAGACACGGCCCAGACUCCUACGGGAGGCAGCAGUGGGGGAUAUUGCACAAUGGGGGAAACCCUGAUGCAGCGACGCCGCGUGGAGGAAGAAGGUUUUCGGAUUGUAAACUCCUGUCGUUAGGGACGAUAAUGACGGUACCUAACAAGAAAGCACCGGCUAACUACGUGCCAGCAGCCGCGGUAAAACGUAGGGUGCAAGCGUUGUCCGGAAUUACUGGGUGUAAAGGGAGCGCAGGCGGGAAGACAAGUUGGAAGUGAAAACCAUGGGCUCAACCCAUGAAUUGCUUUCAAAACUGUUUUUCUUGAGUAGUGCAGAGGUAGAUGGAAUUCCCGGUGUAGCGGUGGAAUGCGUAGAUAUCGGGAGGAACACCAGUGGCGAAGGCGGUCUACUGGGCACC
rnacentral:rRNA from 1 species